CAGACGUGGGGAGUAAUGCUGACAAGGCUGCAAGAAAAAAAUGUUGGAAUGUUGUAAUAAGCAAGACCUCAGAACUAGAAGGGCUUCACGUCUAAUGGCUGAGCUUCGUAUGAAUAGGCAGGAGUUCCGGUUUCGACUUCAGUUGAAGCAGCGUAAUGCUCAGUGAAUGCUGUUGUUUUCGUAUUAAUGUGGAACUCUGAGAACGCAAAGCCGUCCAACGGUCCGAACAGUAACAAGAGCUCUGGAUUGUUAGGUAAGCGAUAUUGCUAAGCUAUGAGAUGUUUUCUUACUUAUAGUGGAAUAACAAACACUCAUUAGGCAACUUUUAAGCACCACAGUGGUUGCAGAGAUUGAAUUACUUGAAGGGAGGAGUACAAUAGCAUAGUCCGAGUAAUUAAGACAGAACUUUGAUGGUAGGUUAAUGAUUAAAAAAAACGUGGUAAUUACAGUAAAAACUACAUCCAUUCCUAGUCGUGAAGGUAGCACCAAGAGACUAAUGACGAGAUAUGCACCGUGUUUUUCGAAUAAAAUAAAGAGGCAAGUAGAUUAGGGAGACAGUUGUUUGCUGUGGUGAAUUGACUUUAAAAAUCUGCUGCAUAAAUGAUCUGAUUGGCAUAGCUAAGGGGUCCGGUUACUGUAUUCAAAUGUGGUGCUACAUAACAUGAAAAACACAUACUGCAAAAGAUUACGAGAAAUAAUAAAUGAAGAAACCUGCAAUGAAGAAACUGAUAGCCGUAGAGUCGGCGUAGAAGGCUUUGCAAACGCUUAGUCGGGACACUUUGCAUCCACUUGCAGUGCAACCAAGAUGUCAACGGUGUCUUUACAUUACUGGUCACAUUGCACUUCCCCAUUUUAGCCGUCAUAGUGAAUGGAAGAUAAUUCGUGUAUUUCUGGUUGUUAAAAUAUAAGGCGGUCGGUAAUCCGGUAAGUUUGUUAUAAUACCAGCACCACUCCCACAAGCGCCGUGUUCAAUACCAGCCCUAUUUGAAUGAAUGGUAAAAUACGUUUAACGAAAGACUGAAAAUAUCUCGGUAACAGUAAAUUUGCGAUAAACUUGAACUUUAGUUCCGUACUAAGCAUGUAGAGGGUACUGAAUAUCGCAGCCUAAAAACUCAAAUAUCAAAUGAUCGUUUAAAAAGGAUGGAGGCUAGGUUUUCCCCUUAAGUCGGCUGGAUUAUAUUUUCCUCAUUACAGCAUUAUGCUCUUGAAAAAAUGUUUAAAACCGUCAUGUCUGACAUAGAAAAUGGCCCACGUAAUGUAGCGUUAAUACUGUAAUUGUGGUAUUUACUUUUAACUGUAUAUUUAAAACUACAAAACGGUUAACUAAUAUGUAGAAAAAACUGGUGAUAACAUAUUGUAAGAAGUAAGAGGACCAGUUUCGAUGCUAUAGAAAUGCUAAGGGUCGUGUUGCGUAAUAUAAAGAAAAUUCUGAAAUUAUUAUUUGCGUCAAAUGAAACUUUAAACUGCCCCCAAUCAUGUGGUGUAAGGCCACGCCCCCAAUCAUCAACAGCAAGAUCGCAGCGGGGAAUCCCUGUACAAGGCACAGUGAGGUUAUUUUUCUAUUCUUAUUUUUCUCCGUAUUAAAUUGCUGUUAUUAAUGGUGUGGGCAUUUAUAAUAUUACUUUGUGUUUAGACAACAAUCCAUUAGUGGGGUACAGGAAGUUUCAACGGCGACAGUUUUCAGUGUCCAGGUUAAUGCAUUAUUCUCAGUUAUUGUUCCAAAGCAUAUUCUCGUUCAUUGUUGAGUGGCGUUUUUAGAUAAGGCUUGGUAUUUUCAUUACUCGUUCCGUACACUACAGUUCGAAAAUUGAGUUUUCACAGCCAUGUGACCGCGUAAUUAAUUCACAAAUUACUUGAUAGUCUUGAGUCCUUCAUCAAUUUUCAUCAAGCAUUUAAGAGUUUAUUUCCGGACACGUUUACCGUUCUUCGGUAGUUUCCUGCCGCUUAUUUUUCUUCGUUAUGAUGAGUGACAAAAACAGACAAAACUUUUUUGAAUGACGACAAGUGCGUGCCAAAUAAUUGGUAUUUUAAGACCAGAUCCCUGCGGCAACUAUUUCUAUAAUUAACGUCACGAUGAACUGGGAACGAAAGAGUAAAAACAGCCGUAAACGAAUUCAUAUUGUCUAAUUAUCUCACUUAUUUUAUAUUUUAUCGUGACGCCAAAAUUGUCAAAUACUCGUAUAGCGGUAAUAUCCCACUUUUUUUCACUUAAGUGCCUUUCCUUGACAUUACAGUAUCCUGUUUGUCCAUCGAUGUUCAGGUUUUCUGACUAAUAGCCGAGAAUCCCUUUUCUGAAAUUAUUGUAUUGUCAACAAUCAUUCAUCGCGGUGACUAAAAACUCAUUUUGCCUUAGGUUUUGCAUGUGCGAUAUUGAGUAAUUAAGGAUUUAGAAAAUAUUUUAAG